ACUGUUAAUAGUUAGAGCAGGUCGCAUUUGCGCACUAUAAAUUGAUCACUAUCAGGCUGCUACUAUUCUUUCGUUUCGCCGCAACCUCAUAAUUAGGGUUUCACAAGCAGAGUGAGAGGCUAAGCAAAUUUCAAAGCAAUCAGAAUGAGGGCCAAGUGGAAGAAGAAGAGAAUGAGGAGGUUGAAGAGGAAGCGACGAAAGAUGAGACAGAGAUCCAAGUAGAUGAUUGAUAAUGAUUCUACCUCUCUCUUUAGCUUCCAUUGAUUCAGAAUCCUGUGUUGUUUUUGUUUAUCUACUUUUGUUUUCAAGAUUGAUACCUUAUAAUUUUGAUUUGCUUAUCAAUGGAGCUUUAUUUACCUGGAUAA